AUUGAACGCUGGCGGCAUGCUUUACACAUGCAAGUCGAACGGCAGCGCGGGCUUCGGCCUGGCGGCGAGUGGCGAACGGGUGAGUAAUGCAUCGGAACGUGCCCAGUAGUGGGGGAUAGCCCGGCGAAAGCCGGAUUAAUACCGCAUACGACCUGAGGGUGAAAGCGGGGGACCGAAAGGCCUCGCGCUAUUGGAGCGGCCGAUGUCAGAUUAGCUAGUUGGUGGGGUAAAGGCUUACCAAGGCGACGAUCCGUAGCUGGUCUGAGAGGACGACCAGCCACACUGGGACUGAGACACGGCCCAGACUCCUACGGGAGGCAGCAGUGGGGAAUUUUGGACAAAGGGGGCAACCCUGAUCCAGCCAUGCCGCGUGCGGGAAGAAGGCCUUCGGGUUGUAAACCGCUUUUGUUCGGGAAGAAAUCCUCUGGGCUAAUACCCCGGGGGGAUGACGGUACCGGAAGAAUAAGCACCGGCUAACUACGUG
rnacentral:rRNA from 1 species